AGAUCGUGAGGACUACUGGAGCGCUUAGAAGUGAGAAUGCCGGUGUGAGUAACGUAAGGUAGGUGAGAAUCCUACCCACUAUUUGACCAAGGUUUCCAGGGUCAAGUUCGUCUUCCCUGGGUUAGUCGGGACCUAAGGCGAGGCUGAAAAGCGUAGUCGAUGGACAACAGGUUUAUAUUCCUGUACUACUUAUAGGACUGAUGGAGUGACGGAGAAAGCUAGGAAGAGCCAGUUAUUGGAUUCUGGUCUAAGCGUUUAGGUUGAUGCACAGGAAAAUCCGUGAUAUCGAUAAGACUGAAGCGUGAUGGCGACGUGGUCUACGGACCGCUAAGUCUUUUGAAGCUAUGCUUCCAAGAAAAACUUCUAAAGAUAUGUUAUAAGUACCCGUACCUAGAACCGACACAGGUGGUCAAGGAGAGAAUCCUAAGGUGAGCGAGAGAACUAUGGUUAAGGAACUCGGCAAAAUUACCCCGUAACUUCGGAAUAAGGGGAGGUUUCUUCGGAAACCCGCAGUGAAUAGGUCCAGGCAACUGUUUACCAAAAACACAGGUCUCUGCUAAAGCGUAAGCUGAUGUAUAGGGGCUGACGCCUGCCCAGUGCUGGAAGGUUAAGAGGAGAUGUUAGUUGGACGCAAGUCGAUAACAACGAAGCUUCGAAUUGAAGCCCCAGUGAACGGCGGCCGUAACUAUAACGGUCCUAAGGUAGCGAAAUUCCUUGUCAGGUAAGUUCUGACCCGCACGAAAGGCGUAAUGAUUUGGGCGCUGUCUCAACCAUGGACUCGGUGAAAUCUUAAUACCUGUGAAAAUGCAGGUUACCCGCGACAGGACGGAAAGACCCCAUGGAGCUUUACUGUAGCUUGAUAUUGGAAUCAGGCAAUGUAUGUAGAGGAUAGGUGGUAGACUAUGAAGUAUAGACGCCAGUUUAUACAGAGUCGCCCUUGGAAUACCACCCUUACGUUGUUUGAUUUCUAACUUAUUCCCGUGAUCCGGGAAGAGGACAGUGUCUGGUGGGCAGUUUGACUGGGGCGGUCGCCUCCCAAAAUGUAACGGAGGCGCCCAAAGGUUCCCUCAGAUUGGUCGGAAAUCAAUCAAAGAGUGUAUUGGUAUAAGGGAGCUUAACUGCGAGACCAACAAGUCGAGCAGGUGCGAAAGCAGGGCAAAGUGAUCAGGCGGUAGAGAAUGGAAUUGCCGUCGCUUAACGGAUAAAAGUUACCCUGGGGAUAACAGGCUGAUACCACCCAAUAGUUCAUAUAGACGGUGGUGAUUGGCACCUCGAUGUCGGCUCGUCACAUCCUGGAGGUGGAUUCGCUUCCAAGGGUUGGGCUGUUCGCCCAUUAAAGUGGCACGCGAGCUGGGUUCAGAACGU
rnacentral:rRNA from 1 species